rnacentral:rRNA from 1 species
GGUCCCAAGGGUUGGGCUGUUCGCCCAUUAAAGCGGUACGUGAGCUGGGUUCAGAACGUCGCAAGACAGUUCGGUCCCUAUCAGCUGCGGGCGUAGGGCACUUGAGGGGAGCUGCCCCUAGUACGAGAGGACCGGGGUGGACGGACCUCUGGUGUACCAGUUGUCGCGCCAGCGGCACCGCUGGGUAGCCAUGUCCGGACGGGAUAACCGCUGAAAGCAUCUAAGCGGGAAGCCCACCCCAAGAUUAGGUGCCCCACGGGGUUAACCCGGUAAGGCCCCUCCGAGACUAGGAGGUUGAUAGGCCGGAGGUGUAAGCGGGGUGACCCGUUCAGCCGACCGGUACUAAUCGGCCGAGGGCUUGACCACUC